rnacentral:rRNA from 1 species
GUGUCUGGUGGGUAGUUUGACUGGGGCGGUCUCCUCCUAAAGAGUAACGGAGGAGCACGAAGGUUGGCUAAUCCUGGUCGGACAUCAGGAGGUUAGUGCAAUGGCAUAAGCCAGCUUGACUGCGAGCGUGACGGCGCGAGCAGGUGCGAAAGCAGGUCAUAGUGAUCCGGUGGUUCUGAAUGGAAGGGCCAUCGCUCAACGGAUAAAAGGUACUCCGGGGAUAACAGGCUGAUACCGCCCAAGAGUUCAUAUCGACGGCGGUGUUUGGCACCUCGAUGUCGGCUCAUCACAUCCUGGGGCUGAAGUAGGUCCCAAGGGUAUGGCUGUUCGCCAUUUAAAGUGGUACGCGAGCUGGGUUUAGAACGUCGUGAGACAGUUCGGUCCCUAUCUGCCGUGGGCGCUGGAGAACUGAGGGGGGCUGCUCCUAGUACGAGAGGACCGGAGUGGACGCAUCACUGGUGUUCGGGUUGUCAUGCCAAUGGCACUGCCCGGUAGCUAAAUGCGGAAGAGAUAAGUGCUGAAAGCAUCUAAGCACGAAACUUGCCCCGAGAUGAGUUCUCCCUGAGACUUAGAGUCUCCUGAAGGAACGUUGAAGACGACGACGUUGAUAGGCCGGGUGUGUAAGCGCAGCGAUGCGUUGAGCUAACCGGUACUAAUGAACCGUGAGGCUUAACCUUA